GUUUAUAUGUAAAAUACGUUUGAACGAUUAAUUGUAUUCAAUAUAUUUUUUAUUAUCAUUCAACUCUAGAUUGUCUAAUUGAGACAAAAGCAAGAAUUAUGUAUGUGCGCGCUAUAAAAAAAUGAUAAAAAGAUUCAAUUAUUUUAUACAACAUGUUUCUAUAUAAAAUGCGUUUAAUUAAUUUUAUUUAGUAUAUUUUUUAUGAUUCUACAACUGGAUUGUCAAAAAGAUUGCGAUUAUGUAUGUACACGCUAACGCUGCACCAAGCUGGUUAUUCAUCUUGGCGAUGCAUCCUGGCGAAAUGCAACAAUGACACGUGAUUCGCGUGACCAUCAGUAGUCGCCAUCAGGGCAACGACGACGAUGGCAAUCGCUAUUUCGAUUUCUCACUGUUUAACGUCGCGCGACCAAAUCGCGCACGUGCGAGCACAGAACGCGUUCGCAUAUUGAUACCGAGACUAGAUAUGGUAAUUAGAUUCUUGUGCGAGACCGUCAUCGCUUCAACUCAUUCGCUUUCUCUCUCUCUCUCUCUUUCUCUCUCUCUCUCCUCGCUGCUGCGGGAGCAAAUUUAUAGUUAAUUGCGACUGUUAACUUAUUUUAUAAGCUACAUACUAUGAUUUAACUGUGGAAUUCAGAGGUAGGACAGCGCGACAGUGCGGUGGUAGCGAGUACGAGAAAUAUAAGGACGCGAUCCCCGCAUACUCGACAGGUUUACAACAUUCGAAAAAUUAUGUUCUAUAAUUCUAUAUCAACGGAAAUGUAGGUAUAUCUACGGCAGCUGUCAACUAUAGUGUUUUCUCAGAUCAAGCUCAAUCUACACUUUCCAAGAACCAACUUUCUCGUAGUAUGGUCCGAAGGCGAUUCUUGGAGCGAGAGUAGCCCGGUCAAGCCGGUUCGCCAAUUUUGGAUCAAAAGACUCUAUCCUGCGUGAAGUGUCGCCUUAACGGUAGACCGUAAAAUUAAGGUCAAUCCCAGGAAAUUACCCGGAAACAUGGAAGAUUCAUUACAUUUCCGCCUCGCUUCGUGUGUCACCCGAUCAAAGGAGUUCAACAACUUUUUCACUUUGGUUCACAUUACUCAACGGGUCGUUAAAGCAGACCGUCCGCGCGAGCACGAUGCCAUAGGAAACUUAUGUUCUGUCGCGUGGGUGCAACGUGUGGGCAUCGCGACAGUUCCGUCAGGCACCUUGUCUCGAUCAAAGUUCGUUACACUCGUCAAUUCGCCGACAGAAAGAGACUCUCUUCGUGCAGGUAGAUGUUGUUUUGUAACGUGGAAAUAUAUCGUCCGUUAACUCUUUCCUUUCACCCGGCAGCAAGGAAAAUCGCAAAUCGAAGGACUCGCAUUAAAUCAUUAGACAAAGUAGCGGCGCAAAUCGAAGACUCGAACGCCAAUUGAUGCGGGCGCGCCCGCCGGCGACAAAUCGUUUCGAUACUUGACGGCACGAGUGGGACUGGAACGAUUUAAGUGUGAUUUAGAACGUCUGAACUCAAUACGGGGGACAAUUAAGGGGGACGGCUUGGGAAAUCUCGUGUUGCCUGUCAAGGUGGUUUAAAAGUCGCUAGUGCAAUCAAGCUCUCUUUAUAGUCUGCGUGAUUGUUCAUCGACGCUGAAAUAAAAUCUUCAUUUUAGAAGCUUCAUAGCACAGCCAGUAUGCACGUUCUAUUUGUACAUUUAAUAGGAGUCUUGCACGAUUAAUGAUACUGUCAGUACCAACGAAUACUGACUGAUUAUUGAUCGUGUAUGAUUAAUAUUGAUGGAUUAAUGCAGAAUAGUGGUCCGGAUUUCUUGAUUCUCGAGCAUCAGUAUCCCUAUUAAACAGCGACUGUCAAUAUUCUACAUCCAUCCCCAUCAAUGUUACAAUCGCACAUAAUCAAUAAUACAUUUGUUAGCAUUAGACCGUGUAAAGUUUCUAUAAAAUACAUAACUUAUAAAAUACACAUAUCAAACUAAAUUGAAAUAUUGUCAAUAAUAUUAAUCAUGUAAGGGCGUUAAAAAUAUUGGUGCAUACUGUCAAUGUAUACUAAUGAUUCUAUAUUAUUCAAUAUUAUAUGUAAUAUGUAUUGAUCGUGUAAAGUCCGUACAAGAUACCGGUUUUAAUUUUUAAUAAACACUCAAAUAUAUACAUCAAUAUCCGAACAAUUCGAUGGGGGAGAAAUUGUAAUGGCGCCGAGUUAUGCGGAAGGAUCUCGAUCGCGUUUCUGACAACGACAGAAUACACGAUCUCUUUCGCUCACGGGGGAUACCUGGUCACCGAGAGGAAUUGAUUUCAGUUUUGGUCACCCUUCAGUCGGCAAACUGGGGGAGGAUCCGGCAGAUGAGUCGCCGACGGUAUUGCGGUUAAACUACCGGCAUUCAAUCGACGCAACCUAUUCAUUGAUCUAUUCGUCUCCCUUCGGCCGCAGAAUCACACCGCUCACGGGCACCCUCCAUUUUUCUUUCCGGUCUCGUCCGCCGUCACUCUUCGUCCCGUAACAAACGGGCGUCGAUUUAGCAUUGCGCGCAAUUUGGGUCACAGCUUUAUUGGAACCCACCGGCCGAUCGCUAACGAAACGAAUUGACUCUGAGAGCAUUGGCCGUUUCGAGUUGCCGGCGCGUGCUUUUGGAGGAAUCAUGGUGAUGACGCAACCGUCUCGAUUAAAGCAGUAUACCGGGCAGAACAAAUCGCUACAUUGGUUUCUACUAUACUUCGCUAAGCGUAGAUAAUGUCGCGUAACGAAAGUCUUUUAUUUGAUAAUGAGUUUUAAUUAAUUGAAACAGUGCAUUUGAUGGCAUUAAUCUAAUCUUUGGAGGAAUUCAAAGUGAAAUGAAUAUGUUUACGAUUCGUAAUUUUGUCUUGAAUUAAAUUUAAUGACAUAAUUAAAUAAAUAUAUAACGUUAUUAAAACGAGAAAACUAAUUUAAAAGGCUUUUAGAUUUUAAUAGAUAUUUUCAUAUAAUUUUAAUCGUUCCUUAUGAUUUCCGUAAUUGCUAUAAUUCCAUUUUCGAUGAAUUUGGAACAUACAUUUUAUAACAUGGAUAUUCAUCAUGACAACCACUUUACUAAUCUCAUCAAAAAGUCAGGCUAGGGCAUCGUGAAGAAAAGUGAAGAUCUAAAUAGGCAGCGACGGGGUAGAAACGCUAUACUCGGAAGCGGUUAACGCGAUGGACCUUGCCCAUCCAUCGGGCCGACCUUUGAUCUAUUUCCAGCCGUGGAAAUCGCCCCCGUCGCGAUAAACCGCCAUUUUCCCUCCACUUGGCAGAACAUAUUUCCGGCGGCGUUAGUCAGCCGUUCUAAAUGCACUAUACUGACUGCUGCUCUUUCGUCUAGCUCGCUUCCUCCCUCCCUCCCUCUCACGCUGUGAACACUAGCCAAGUUGUAUUUCUGACUAGCUCUCGCUGUCAGAUCGAGGUUAAUUGGGUGCCAUUAUGACGAAAAUUAGUGCGUAUCAGUCGGCGAGGAUAAGCUCUCUCCUGAUGUUCACGGGUCGCGGCUUUCACGGUAUCGAUAAAUUAAUCAACAAUCUCGUAUCGUCAAAUUUAUGGGACACAGACUAGUGCUUCUAGAAUCAUGUUGAAGUGUGUUGAACAAGAAAUAUUUUAAUAAGAAUUUGUGUCCUUGUCCAACAUUACGCCAUAUACUUAAAUAUCCGUGUCGUAUUUUAUAUAAACGAUUUAGAAGCAAAAUAAAAUAAUUGAUGUUAACGUCAGCAAUGUUAUUUUAUAUUGCUAAGUUUAGUUUAUCAUAUUAUAUCGCCCAUUGCCAAAUUUUAUUGGCACAAUAAUAAGAUUUAGAAAACAGAUUUUCUUUCAUGAAAUUUAUAUCUCUUAAAUGUCAAUUCAUGUAGAAUUUUUACAUAAAAAUCAAUAAAUUCAUUGCAAGCUAAUUCACUUUAACUUGUUUAGAUAAUCACUUUAAAUUUUUGUUCAAAUAAUCAGAAUAAACACAAUUUAAUAUUUCACUAUAAUAAAUCUUUAAAAAGAAUUGAAAAAUUAUAUCGUAUGUGUAUUAAAAGAGUAAAUUACAAUUUUCUCUUGUCUCUGUCAAGUUCGGAAAAUUACACCAAGAAGAAAUUUUC